GACGUAGGGGCCAGCGUUGUUCGGAAUUACUGGGUGUAAAGGGUUCGUAGGCGGUGUGGCAAGUCGGGAGUGAAAUCUCUGGGCUCAACUCAGAGACUGCUUCCGAAACUGCUGUGCUGGAGUGUGGAGAGGCGCGUGGAAUUGCAGGUGUAGCGGUGAAAUGCGUAGAUAUCAGGAGGAACACCAUAGCGAAGGCAGCUCGCUGGGACGGUACUGACGCUAAGGCGCGAAAGCGAUGGGAGCAACAGGGAUUAAGAAACCCGAU
rnacentral:rRNA from 1 species